rnacentral:rRNA from 1 species
UGCCAUCAGCCGCGGUAAUACGGAGGGUGCAAGCGUUGUUCGGAAUUAUUGGGCGUAAAGCGCGUGUAGGCGGUUCGUUAAGUCUGAUGUGAAAGCCCGGGGCUCAACCCCGGAACUGCAUCCGAAACUGCUUGGCUUGAGUACGGGAGAGGGAAGCGGAAUUCCCAGUGUAGAGGUGAAAUUCGUUGAUAUUGGGAGGAACACCCGUGGCGAAAGCGGCUUCCUGGCCCAGUACUGACGCUGAGACGCGAAAGCGUGGGGAGCAAACAGGAUUAGAUA